UACAGAGGGUGCGAGCGUUAAUCGGAAUCAUUGGGCGUAAAGCGCACGUAGGCGGCCUGUUAAGUCGCAUGUGAAAGCCCCGGGCUCAACCCGGGAAGUGCAUUCGAAACUGGCGGGCUUGAAUAUGGAAGAGGGUCGCGGAAUUCCCGGUGUAGAGGUGAAAUUCGUAGAUAUCGGGAGGAACACCAGUGGCGAAGGCGGCGACCUGGGCCAAUAUUGACGCUGAGGUGCGAAAGCGUGGGGAGCAAACAGG
rnacentral:rRNA from 1 species